GAUGAAUGCUGGCGGCGUGCCUAAUACAUGCAAGUCGAGCGAACAGACGAGGAGCUUGCUCCUCUGACGUUAGCGGCGGACGGGUGAGUAACACGUGGAUAACCUACCUAUAAGACGGGUAUAACUUCGGGAAACCGGAGCUAAUACCGGAGAAUAUAUUGAACCGCAGGGUUCAUUAGUGAAAGACGGUUUUGCGGUCACUUAUAGAUGGAUCCGCGCCGCAUUAGCUAGUUGGUAAGGUAACGGCUUACCAAGGCAACGAGGCGUAGCCGACCGGCGAGGGUGAUCGGCCACCCUGGAACUUGGACACGGUCCAUGCUCCUACGGGAGGCAGCAGUAGGGAAUCUUCCGCAAUGGGCGAAAACCUGACGGAGCGACGCCGCGUGAGUGAUGACGGUCUUCGGAUCGUAAAACUCUGUUAUUAGGGAAGAACCACUGUGUCAGUAACUAUGCACGUCUUGACGGUACCUAAUCAGAAAGCCACGGCUAACUACGUG
rnacentral:rRNA from 1 species